ensembl:snRNA U6 U6 spliceosomal RNA
GUGCGCACUUCGGCAGCACAUAUACUAAAAUUGGAAUGACACAGAGAAGAGUAGCAUGACCCCUGCACAAGGAUGACACGCAAAUUCAUGAAGCAUUCCAUAUUAAA